CAGUAGAAAGCAAAUAUUCUCGGAAGUGGUACAUUUUUCUUUUCUUCGGGUUUUGUCGCAAAUUUUUCUUAUUUUAAAAAAGUAAUACGCUGAAAUUGUUAUAUACCAAGUAUGAUCAGCCAGAGAGCUCUAAAACUUCGUGAAAUUUUAAGAUUUUAGAAGAACUUCUCGAAGACGCAGAGCUGGGUGAUGAAAGCACUAUUGAUAUAGUGCAACUGCCACCAGAUGCUGAUUGUCUGACUGAUUGCGAAGAUGUUGAUGAAGACAAUCUCGAUGAAGUAACA